rnacentral:lncRNA from 1 species
ACUUAUCUGGCUAAUUUGAUGAAUUAUGUCUUGAUUAGACAAUUAAGUGAUUCGAGUUGACCAUACCAUUAAGUUGAUCAAUCUGACUGAUCUAGGUGCCAUUUCAACUAGUAUGAACUUGAUCCAAUUCAAUGACUUAGUGAAGUCAGUAGGAGGAUUGUGGUUUACUGGUUGAUCUCUUCUUAUCUCUUCUCUAAAUUGAUUCUUAAAUUCUUUAAAUUAUUAGGUCUGUAAAAUGAGUUAGUUAUAGAGAUAACUUGAUCAUAGUCUUUCAUUAAGGUGAAUGAUAAUAGGUC